CUUGUUCCCGCGGGGCUCCGGGCGGCCGCGACCCUGCCGGAGUCCGGGGGGGACCUCCAGAAACCCGGGGGGUCCCUGACUCUCGUGUGCCGCGCAUCCGGAUUCAGUUUUGGGAGUUUUGGGAUGGGCUGGAUGCGCCAGAGCCCCGGGAAGGCGCUGGAAUGGGUCGCAGGGAUCAGCAGCAAUGGUGGUUACACCUACUACGCGCCAUCGGUCAAGGGCCGGUUCACGAUCUCCAGGGACAACGGGCAGAGCUCGGUGACGCUGACCAUGACCAACCUCAAGGACGACGAUUCCGGCUCCUAUUUCUGUGCCAAGGAUGCUGCUGGUGGUGCUGCUGAUCAUGCCGGUGCUUUUGGUCUUGUGCUGCUCGUUGCGUUGUUUAUCUUGACGGAUUUCAUCUCCGUUCCCGUCUCCACGUCCCCUCCUCUCCCCAAACCUCCCCAGACCGUUCCCCCAAACCCCUGA